AGAGUUUGAUCCUGGCUCAGGAUGAACGCUGGCGGCGUGCCUAACACAUGCAAGUCGAGCGAGAAACUGCGAAUUGACGCUUCGGUUGAUUUUCGCAGCGGAAAGCGGCGGACGGGUGAGUAACGCGUAGGCAACCUGCCCUUUACACAGGGAUAGCCUCUGGAAACGGGGAUUAAGACCUGAUAAUCCGGCAUCAACACAUGUUGGAGCCGGCAAAGAUUUAUUGGUAAAGGAUGGGCCUGCGUCUGAUUAGUUAGUUGGUGAGGUAACGGCUCACCAAGGCGACGAUCAGUAGCCGGCCUGAGAGGGUGAUCGGCCACAUUGGAACUGAGACACGGUCCAGACUCCUGCGGGAGGCAGCAGUGGGGAAUAUUGCACAAUGGGGGAAACCCUGAUGCAGCAACGCCGCGUGAAGGAUGAAGGCCUUUGGGUCGUAAACUUCUGUCCUUGGGGAAGAAAGCAAUGACGGUACCCUUGGAGGAAGCCCCGGCUAACUACGUGCCAGCAGCCGCGGUAAUACGUAGGGGGCAAGCGUUAUCCGGAAUUAUUGGGCGUAAAGCGUGCGUAGGCGGUUUUUUAAGCGCGGGGUUUAAGGCUAUGGCUUAACCAUAGUUCGCCUUGCGAACUGGAAGACUUGAGUACAGGAGAGGAAAGCGGAAUUCCUAGUGUAGCGGUGAAAUGCGUAGAUAUUAGGAGGAACACCAGUGGCGAAGGCGGCUUUCUGGACUGCAACUGACGUUGAGGCACGAAAGCGUGGGGAGCAAACAGGAUUAGAUACCCUGGUAGUCCACGCCGUAAACGAUGAGCACUAGGUGUCGGGGUCGCAAGAUUUCGGUGCCGCAGUUAACGCAAUAAGUGCUCCGCCUGGGGAGUACGACCGCAAGGUUGAAACUCAAAGGAAUUGACGGGGGCCCGCACAAGCGGUGGAGCAUGUGGUUUAAUUCGAUGCUACGCGAAGAACCUUACCAGGUCUUGACAUCUUCUGCCAACCUAA
rnacentral:rRNA from 1 species